GUAGGAUGGAAACGGAUAGAGCCAACGAACAAGCCCGUAUUCAGCUAGUCGGCUGCGUGCGGCAUGCUCGGACUUCCCGUAUGGGGGUUCGAGUGUGUGCGGCGUGCGGUCGGCUAGUGCAUUUGCGGGUGAUGUGCGCUGAGGCGUGUGGUGGUGUGCUGCGAAUCGCGUAGAGAGGCCUCGCCCUUCGGGGCUUGGAACCUAUGCGCGUGGAGUAGUGUUGCCGCUGCACGUACAGUCGGCUAGGUGUACUCGCGUCGGCGUGUCGCCGGGUCGGUCCUCUGGGCGGUCGCAUGCGACUAGUCCUUAGGGCUAAUCUUGGUGGCGCGUCGAUGCCCUAGCCGGUCCUCGGUGUAAAAGUUGGUCAUCUCUCCGACCCGUCUUGAAACACGGACCAAGGAGUCUAGCGUAUACGCGAGUCAUUGGGUGGAAAACCCAUAGGCGUAAUGAAAGUGAAGGGCACUUUGUGUGUCUGAUAUGCGAUCCGUAGUGCUUCGGCGCUGCGGAGCAGCAUAGCCCCGUCUCGACCGCUUGCGGUGGGGCGGAGGUAGAGCGUAUUCGCUGGUACCCGAAAGAUGGUGAAYUAUGCCUGAGCAGGAUGAAGCCAGAGGAAACUCUGGUGGAGGUCCGAAGCGCUUCUGACGUGCAAAUCGAUCGUCUGACUUGGGUAUAGGGGCGAAAGACUAAUC
rnacentral:rRNA from 1 species